AGAGUUUGAUCAUGGCUCAGAACGAACGCUGGCGGCAGGCCUAACACAUGCAAGUCGAACGAGAAGCCACCUUCGGGUGGUGGACAGUGGCAGACGGGUGAGUAACGCGUGGGAACGUGCCUUUCGGUUCGGAAUAACCCAGGGAAACUUGGGCUAAUACCGGAUACGCCCUUCGGGGGAAAGAUUCAUUGCCGAAAGAUCGGCCCGCGUCGGAUUAGCUAGUUGGUGGGGUAAUGGCUCACCAAGGCGACGAUCCGUAGCUGGUCUGAGAGGAUGACCAGCCACACUGGGACUGAGACACGGCCCAGACUCCUACGGGAGGCAGCAGUGGGGAAUAUUGGACAAUGGGCGAAAGCCUGAUCCAGCCAUGCCGCGUGGGUGAAGAAGGCCUUAGGGUUGUAAACCCCUUUCAGCGGGGAAGAUAAUGACGGUACCCGCAGAAGAAGUCCGGCUAACUCCGUGCCAGCAGCCGCGGUA
rnacentral:rRNA from 1 species